rnacentral:rRNA from 1 species
GAUGAACGCUGGCGGCGUGCUUAACACAUGCAAGUCGAACGGUGAACACGGAGCUUGCUCUGUGGGAUCAGUGGCGAACGGGUGAGUAACACGUGAGCAACCUGCCCCUGACUCUGGGAUAAGCGCUGGAAACGGCGUCUAAUACUGGAUAUGUGACGUGACCGCAUGGUCUGCGUCUGGAAAGAUUUUUUCGGGUUGGG